UUUGGGCUAAUUAGAAGAUUAAUGUCGUCUGCUUCGUUUUGUUCUAGUUCAAAAAGAGUUCGAGUUCGUUUAAGUGAGUAAAGUUCCGAAAAAGAGACAAAGUGACGGACGAGACAAGAAAACAGAACGAACACUUUUCUGGAAACGUUCGUGGCAGCAGAACAAAUAAAAUUUCAAAACUCUGGUCGUCGUGUGAACUCUGGUGUCGCAGAUCUCCUUGAUCUCUACCCAAUGCUGUUUAUAGCAGCAAACAGCAAGCAUUGUUUGAUUGGAAAAACUCUGUCCUUGUGUACACCCAUGUGAGUGUGGGAGUAUUCACGAGGGCGCCGUUUUCCCGCCAUUAAACUUUUUUCUACGCAUGAAGCACCUGUGGAUGCCUGGCUGUAUUUCCCGGGCUUAAAGAUUGUGUGGAAUGGACAUUGCCAAAUUGGGGAGUCGGUAGGCAGAGUGUAGUUCGCAUUCUUCUCGCUCGAUGUCCUCGUUGCUUACAAUGAAAAGUUCGUCUGCUGCGUCUCCUCGUUGAUGGUCACGCCUAUUGCACUCCGGAGUCCGGAGCGCUCUAGUGUCAAAAGUGGCUAUUGCACUCCGGAGUCCGGAGUCCUCUAGCGUCAAAAGUGGCUAUUGCACUCCGGAAAGGAAAUAUGAAGUCAAAUAUGAAGUCAUUUAUGGCGACGAAUGGCAAAUAACGACUGAUUCUGUGUUUUUACUGGUUUUGAAUUCAUUAAAAAUUAAAUUAAGGGUAAGAAAUAAAUUUGCAAUAUAUUUAUAACAAUCAAAUAUAUUUGAAUUUCAUUAAUAAACACAAAUAGCCAUUAGCCAGUAUAAAAGAUGGGACUUAGUAUUGUUAACUUAGCUAGAGUCGGAGAGUCCACCAUUGAAUCAGUACCUUAGAUUCAAAUUGCAAAUAAACAGGAAUAAAGUAGAAUGUAUAAACAUAUCAAUUCAGGGUGAUGUUUCUUGAUAAACAUUUCAACUUCUUGCUCUAUUCUCCUCGGCGUUUGAACCCAAAGCAACCCAUCAUCAAAGGACGAGGCGCUUCCAUAUUCCGCUCUUAAAGGAUCUUUGAUUGACGCCGCCAUAUGUGCCAAUUCUUUCCCCUCUUAAAUCAAUUACUUUUUCAUUGUCAGUUCAUUCAUGUGAUGACAAAGCACCGAGUGAAACUGAACACGAAAAUACCAAGUAUUUUUUCGCACUCACAAUUCAGUUAAAAUGUCUUUUGAUAUUCUCACUAUAAUAAAGGAAACUGCAUGUUAACUUAGUUAUGUAUUGUUUUGUUUCAAGAUAUGAAAGACGUGUCUAGCUGUUAGUUUAUUGGAAUAAGGGACACGGACAUUGCAUGGUUUAUAGCGUGAAAUCAGCUGAAUCACACGUUACGUGUCAAUCAGCAGAAAUAGUGAGUUGCUGGUCAAUGCGUUUCAAGGUCACAAAGAACCCCUCGAAGCCCCGUUCUGAGAAUUCCGGCUCGACCUUCAGGCAAGUAUGGGGGUGUCAGAGGGUGACUCACUAUGUCGUGUGUUUAUAGCGUGUUUAACAACCUGUCUAAAUCCUUACUUUGAAUAUAAUGAUCUCUGUGUAAUAUAAACUGCAAUGAAAUACAGAAAUACCUGAUUUCCAAUCCUUUUGGUGAUAUUGAUAUCGAGGCUUAUGAAGAAUUUUGUGUGAGUAGGAAUUGUGGUAACACCUUAGCAAAUA